AAGGGUGCAGAGUGGAUACGAUGUGCUUAUUUUAGAUACUGGAUUGGGAAGUGCAGAGAAUCAAGCAAGGGUCAAGGAGUUGCUUCAUGUGGAGGAAUCAAAACUAGAGGAGGAUGAGGGAAAUACCACUCCAGCAGUGAGAUGGGUUCGAGAUGAUAAAUAUGAUUGCAUCCGAUUAAAGCAUUGCAAGGUUGUGACAAAAAUUGAUUGGCAUCGGAAAGGAGACUAUUUCACUACUGUCGUUCCUAGUGAUAUCCUAAUUAUGAAUUUUAGUUGUACUUAUUUUUAGUCAUUCCUAGUGCCUAUUUUAUAUCUCAGUUUUGUUUCUUUCUUUUUUCUAAUACACACUGACAAAUUGGAAAUAUAUAAAAAUCAUGACAUUAUACCUAGUUACCUAGCCUUUGAGGCUGGAAUCAGGAUGAAACCUAAAGUGCCCUGAAAAGUUUAGGCAUACCAAAUUCUCUCAGUUUAAUGACAGAGGUGUUUUAGAUUGUAAAUUUCAUCCGAGGCAGCCAUGGCUAUUCACAGCUGGAGCAGAUUCUGUCAUUAAACUGUAUUGCCACUAAUGAUAGAUUCUCCAGGAAACUUUGAAGAAUCUCCUCGAGUCAAGAUACCUUCAAGAUAUCAAACUCUACACCUUCUAUAUGGAGCUAGAUUUGCAAAAGCCAUAUCCAACUCGAGGAAGUGACUUAUUGACAUGGGAGGUAGGUGUACCUCUUUAG